rnacentral:rRNA from 1 species
AUUGAACGCUGGCGGCAGGCCUAACACAUGCAAGUCGAACGGUAACAGGAAGCAGCUUGCUGCUUUGCUGACGAGUGGCGGACGGGUGAGUAAUGUCUGGGAAACUGCCCGAUGGAGGGGGAUAACUACUGGAAACGGUAGCUAAUACCGCAUAACGUCGCAAGACCAAAGAGGGGGACCUUAGGGCCUCUUGCCAUCGGAUGUGCCCAGAUGGGAUUAGCUAGUAGGUGGGGUAACGGCUCACCUAGGCGACGAUCCCUAGCUGGUCUGAGAGGAUGACCAGCCACCCUGGAACUAGGCACCGGCCCAGCCCCCGAGGGGGGGCAGAGGGGGGGAAUUUGGCCAAAUGGGGGCAAGCCUGCGGCAGCCAUGCCGGGUGUAUGAAGAAGGCCUUCGGGUUGUAAAGUACUUUCAGGGGGGAGGAAGGGGUUAAAGUUAAAACCUUUGCUCAUUGCCGUUACCCGCAGAAGAAGCACCGGCUAACCCCGG